rnacentral:snoRNA from 1 species
UUUUGAGUCUUCCAGCAUGCUUGGGAGUAGGAUGACUCGGGGCAUUCCUGCAGUGCUUGUUAGAAUGUUCUGAAAUGGUUUGAGGCCUUGACCUAUCUCUUCCUUGGAGCAUGGUCACAGACAUUUCAGGCAGUU